rnacentral:misc_RNA from 1 species
AAAAGAUGGAGAAAGUGACGGCGGUAGCGUCGGCGGGGUACGAUAAGGCAAAGGCGGCGGCGGCUGUCGGAGCAGUGAAAGCUAAGGCGGCGGCUGUGGUCGGUGCUAGCAAGGUGAAGAGUGGUACCACUACUGGAUUUAAGUGGAUUAAGGAGAAAUGGCAGAAGAGGAGUUCAGCUAAAUAAUUUGUUUAAAUUAGGACAUUAUUUAUUAUUUGUACUCAUUUUCG